GAUGAACGCUGGCGGCGUGCCUAAUACAUGCAAGUCGAGCGAACAGAUGAGGAGCUUGCUCCUCUGACGUUAGCGGCGGACGGGUGAGUAACACGUGGAUAACCUACCUAUAAGACUGGGAUAACUUCGGGAAACCGGAGCUAAUACCGGAUAAUAUAUUGAACCGCAUGGUUCAAUAGUGAAAGACGGUUUUGCUGUCACUUAUAGAUGGAUCCGCGCCGCAUUAGCUAGUUGGUAAGGUAACGGCUUACCAAGGCGACGAUGCGUAGCCGACCUGAGAGGGUGAUCGGCCACACUGGAACUGAGACGCGGUCCAGACUCCUACGGGAGGCAGCAGUAGGGAAUCUUCCGCAAUGGGCGAAAGCCUGACGGAGCAACGCCGCGUGAGUGAUGAAGGUCUUCGGAUCGUAAAACUCUGUUAUUAGGGAAGAACAAAUGUGUAAGUAACUAUGCACGUCUUGACGGUACCUAAUCAGAAAGCCACGGCUAACUACGUG
rnacentral:rRNA from 1 species